GCAAGUCGAGGGGUAACAUUGGUGCUUGCAUCAGAUGACGACCGGCGCACGGGUGCGUAACGCGUAUACAAUCUACCUUGUACUGAGGAAUAGCCCAGAGAAAUUUGGAUUAAUGCCUCAUAGUAUGUGAAGUUCGCAUGGACAUUACAUUAAAGGUUACGGUACAAGAUGAGUAUGCGUCCUAUUAGCUAGAUGGUGUGGUAACGGCAUACCAUGGCAACGAUAGGUAGGGGCCCUGAGAGGGGGAUC
rnacentral:rRNA from 1 species